AACGAACGCUGGCGGCAUGCCUAACACAUGCAAGUCGAACGAUGCCUUCGGGCAUAGUGGCGCACGGGUGCGUAACGCGUGGGAAUCUGCCUUUCGGUUCGGAAUAACUCAGGGAAACUUGAGCUAAUACCGGAUAACGUCGCAAGACCAAAGAUUUAUCACCGAAAGAUGAGCCCGCGUAGGAUUAGCUAGUUGGUGAGGUAAAGGCUCACCAAGGCGACGAUCCUUAGCUGGUCUGAGAGGUUGAUCAGCCACACUGGGACUGAGACACGGCCCAGACUCCUACGGGAGGCAGCAGUGGGGAAUAUUGGACAAUGGGCGAAAGCCUGAUCCAGCAAUGCCGCGUGAGUGAUGAAGGCCUUAGGGUUGUAAAGCUCUUUUACCCGGGAAGAUAAUGACGGUACCGGGAGAAUAAGCCCCGGCUAACUCCGUG
rnacentral:rRNA from 1 species